rnacentral:lncRNA from 1 species
CAGGAUAACAUUUUCUGCUCUAACAGAAGUCCAUUAGCCUGCUUCAAACGCAAAGAAUCAACAACUGGUGUAACUUUAACGGCAUACAACAUCAUCACAUGCACAAAAUGGAUCAAUAUAAGAAUUAUACCAAUCUUUUUUUUGAGUCUUAGUUGAAAAGUGAUUGCAUCUUCAAAAUUGAAAACUAUAAUGCAAAUUGUACCCUUGUAUAUGCAUCGUAUUCGAGGCCAAGCCUUAGAAGCUCUGCGAUGUCACUCUUCAAAAACUUCAGCACUGCUUUCUUCCUAUUCUGUAUUCUCUCCAGCCGAAUUUUCAAAGCCUUCACGUAAGACAAGCUGGUUUUUUUAGUGAAACACAACCAAAAAUCAGUAAGAAAAGAAAAAUUUUCCCAUAAAAGGUUGAGAGGAAAAGUAGCAGAGUGGAGGUUAGUGCUGUACCAUUUUGAAUAGAACCUGGGCUUCAAUAGCCACCGAAACAUUUUGUGUCCUAGAAUCUGAAAAGACCAAGUUUGCUGAAAAUGGAAAAUGACUUUUGUUGGGUAUCUUAGAUGCUGUGUUAUUGUUAAAUAACUAGAAGUAUAGAAUCUGAAGAUCAAGUUACGCAAGAAUCAGCAUUGAGGAGGCCUCAAAGAAAAGAAAUGGAGAGGCUAAUCACUGGGGGUAAAAUCAGAAACCAGACUAAGAAAGAGACCUCAACAAAUUAUCCUAAGAGCUAGGAAAUCUAGAGAGAAAAAGGGCAUCUUAAGUCUGCAAAAUUAACCAAUAAAAAGGUUGAACAACUUUGAGGGAACAUAUAUAUAUAUAUAUAUAUAUAUAUAUAUAUAUAUAUAUAUAUAUAUAUAUAUAUAUAUAUANAUAUAUAUAUAUAUAUAUAUAUAUAUAUAUAUAUAUAUAUAUAUAUAUAUAUAUAUAGAGAGAGAGAGAGAGAGAGAGAGAGAGAGAGAGAGAGAGAUCUAAGUUAUGACUAUAAGAGUUAUAUAUUCAGUACGAUGUGGCCAACAAAAGAAGUUCCAAGCUUGUCCACCAAGAAACAAAAAAUUGAAGCCAAAAAGACAGUAGCAGAUUGGUGAAAAAAAGGGUCUUAACUUGAAGCUUGCAUCACAGUUAGAUGGAGGACAAGAGAAAAAGAAACAGUUAUGAAAUUAGCUGUCAGUUUGAUACUCUGAGAAAUUGCAUGUGCAUAAGAAAAGGAGAAAGGAAAAACAACUUCUGUAAAGUAGUACUUUUCUUCUAUGUAUGUGUGACAGUUACAGUGUUGAAAAUGAUUUACCAGUAUCAAUUAGGAUUAACAUGGUUCCAAUCUAUGUUUGUUAUAUUAAUAAGCAUCUACUUAUACUUAUAAUCCUUCAGUAAUUUAUGAAUUAAGUAUACUUAUUUAAUAUUGGGUGUACCAAAACAUAAUUGAACCACAAACAUUAACUGGCAUUACAAGAAUGAAACUGAGAUGUUACUGUGAUAAAUGAAAGGAUAGUGAUCAAAAGGGUGAUUCUUAUUUUGUGUAAUGUAAAAGAUUAUGACCUCCUUUAACAUGAUCAUUGCUUGCUGUCAACAGGGAUUCAGAAAGUGAUGUAUAAUGAAAGAUGUCACAAGCAAUGACAAGUUAAAGUUGGCGUAAAUUUGAGGCCAGGGACAGGUAGGGUAUGUUCAUGCGUUGAAUCAAAUAUUGUUUAUUUCUUGUUCAGUAAUUCAGCAAUAUAGUAUUCAGAAAGCAUGGAAAAAAGAAGCUACAAAGUUACAUUGAAUGAGUUUCUUUUUGCGUGCUCCUUUUUCUUACUGAGAAAUUGGAGUCAACUUGCGUGACCCUUGACUUGAUCCUUGUUCUUUAUUCUAAAACUAUGCUUGUUAGAUUCCUUUUUUAAUGUUCACUUGAUCACUUUGCUUGGUGAUCAAGAAUACUCAGGCUUUUCUCACACAUGAGGAUCAUAACUGAUGCAAAAACUCAAAAGCGUGCAAGCUUUUUUGCAUGAUACGAGGGUACGUUGUUGUGAGGUUCUGUUGGGGUAAACAUGCUAAAUGAUGGCUUUCAUUGUGUGUCACAUGAAUGAGUGUAUGCAUUUAAUAUCUAGCGGUGAACUUUAAUACUAUCCCAAUCUCAC